CGUAGGUCGGGUAAGUAUGGAACCACAGUGUACCCGGGCUUCUUUGGUAAAGUAAGCCGGGUUGAUUGCCGGGCCCAGCGGUUAUUAGGCAACCUGGGUGAACGUCACUGUGUACGCACUCCCGUUUUAGCCGUAAACUCGGCUAGCCUCCGCCCCCCAAUUUGGGAUCGACCGCCGUGGGGGUAUAUAUUCGCCCGUGGGGAAGCGGGAGGCUGGGAGACUCGAAAGCCGCCGCCGCCGCGUGAGUAGCACUAGAGUUGGUCCGCGCGUGAGGAGGAGGAGCGGCAGCAGCAGAGGCCAGGUGGCGGCGAGGUGCGCUGGUACAGCAGCUUCUCCUUCUGGUCCCUCGGGUUCCUCCUCUUACAGUGGGAACCUGGCCGACAGGCACUCCCUCUCGUACAGAAACCGCAACGAGUGUAGAAACGUAGGAAGUUACUGUGAAAGUAGGUACACUGACUGAACAGACCCUCCCUUUGGGACCACGCCUAGUGACCACCUUACUUCCAGUUCCGACUAGCACUACUCAGAAGUGGGAUACGACGAUACGAACGUAGAGUCCUACAACGAUGUGCAACGUUCCUCGAACCAUAAUGGCGUGACGUGUAAUUCGAGGCACGGUGACCUCCGUUGUUCUGGUUCUGUGGACCUGGACCUCGAGUCAGACGAGAGUCCCGAGAACGAGCAAGACCCUACUUUUAACCCGCGUAACUCCUGCACUGAGGUCAAGGGUGACUGUCGUGGGCGGCCUUCCCUCCUUCCUCCCCUUCCUCCGACAUCCGAUAGAAGGUUGAGAUGACCACCGUUAGUUCUUUGAAUGAGGAGAGACCCAUCAGGACGACAAAGAUACUUACAGUACUCCUCGAAAUUAAAACGAGACAACUCCUAGUAAACGACAAUCAGCAUGAUACUUACAACGAACCUAGGAUAAAAACCAAGUCUUUGAACACCAUAAAUACGUUUUUUGAUCGAAAAGUCAGAUACCUAUGGAACUUUACCUCACUAUAGAAUUAAGUAUACCCAACGAUCAGUAGAAAAACCACUACGUAACCACGACACUCUUGACAGUGGGUAUCACGGGUCACGAAACGUUAUUGUCAGAAAUUAUACCAUGAGACAAGAUACAAGUACAAGUUGCCAAGACG
rnacentral:rRNA from 1 species